CACACUCAAGAAGCCCCCUUUGUAUUCCGCCCCAGGGGAGAGAGAAGGGGGCACCCUGGGAGCAACAGAGAGCGCCAAUUUCAUUUCAAGUCGGAGCGAGAAGCCCUAUUUCCCUCCAGCCCCUUUGCAAAACAAAGGGUGUCGCCUGCUUCUCGCGAUUUCCCAGCAAGUGCUGCAGGUAGCAGAGAAAUCCAUGCUGCUCCGUCCGCGGAGAUGGAGCAGGCCUGCCAAGAUCGCCCAGAUCUGGCGCCCCGAGAGAGAUCCCACCUGAAGGCUGGCAGGGGAAGAAGGAGGGCCAAAGCCCCCCCCCCCGGGUCCCUUUCCCCUCACCCGCUUUGUGGGCACGGGAUCCUCCCGCCACUGCAAACAGCUCCUGCCAACCCAGCAGUUUGAAAGCAUACCAGCCCAAGUAGGUAAGAUAAGUUUCAGGGUGGAAAGAUGUAACAGCAUUCUGGAAAAGAUGAGCAACAAGUAAGAAGAAAGUCUGGCAAGAGUUUGAGUCAUCUGAACAAACAAGUGCCAAGCCAAAAUUUCUUGAAUAUGGAAAAUUCUAGAGAAAUAAACAUUUACAAAAGCA